GACCCACAAAGGUUUCAGCAAAGUUUGACGACCAUGUUGCAUCUUGGGAUAUGAGACGGUUUACGCUCACCAAAGAUAUCUGUUCAAAUAACAACAUUCCACAGACAAAAAUGAAUGAAACGAAGAAAGGAAGGUUAAAGGCACACCGAUGUCGUUGUCAAGGAUACCAAUAGCAACGGAUAAUGAUAACGUCACCAACACGUACAAGACACCAGUUCUUAAAUCGUCGUAAGGAGUUUUGGAUAAAAACUCGCAAAUCAUCUAUGGAACACAGACAUUUUUUAAACUAAAUAAAACAUGUUUGGUCUAUUAGAACAGACGUAUAUGUUGAAUUAUAAUGUAAUCUAAUAAUACCCUGUCAAUAUAUAAGUAUCUUGCUUAUCAGCCUCGUGUAAAUAUGUAUAUGAUUGUAUAUGAAGAUGUCUUACGUUAAAGACGAAACGUCAUAAAAUAAAAAACGUUUUACCGCAA